AUGAGCGCUGGCGGCGUGCUUAACACAUGCCAGUCGAACGAAGCACUUUAUUUGAUUUCCUUCGGGACUGAUUAUUUUGUGACUGAGUGGCGGACGGGUGAGUAACGCGUGGGUAACCUGCCUUGUACAGGGGGAUAACAGUUGGAAACGGCUGCUAAUACCGCAUAAGCGCACAGCAUCGCAUGAUGCAGUGUGAAAAACUCCGGUGGUAUAAGAUGGACCCGCGUUGGAUUAGCUAGUUGGUGAGGUAACGGCCCACCAAGGCGACGAUCCAUAGCCGACCUGAGAGGGUGACCGGCCACAUUGGGACUGAGACACGGCCCAAACUCCUACGGGAGGCAGCAGUGGGGAAUAUUGCACAAUGGGCGAAAGCCUGAUGCAGCGACGCCGCGUGAGCGAAGAAGUAUUUCGGUAUGUAAAGCUCUAUCAGCAGGGAAGAUAAUGACGGUACCUGACUAAGAAGCACCGGCUAAAUACGUG
rnacentral:rRNA from 1 species